rnacentral:rRNA from 1 species
GACGAACGCUGGCGGCGUGCUUAACUCAUGCAAGUCGAACGGAAAGGCCCUGCUUUUGUGGGGUGCUCGAGUGGCGAACGGGUGAGUAACACGUGAGUAACCUGCCCUUGACUUUGGGAUAACUUCAGGAAACUGGGGCUAAUACCGGAUAGGAGCUCCUGCUGCAUGGUGGGGGUUGGAAAGUUUCGGCGGUUGGGGAUGGACUCGCGGCUUAUCAGCUUGUUGGUGGGGUAGUGGCUUACCAAGGCUUUGACGGGUAGCCGGCCUGAGAGGGUGACCGGCCACAUUGGGACUGAGAUACGGCCCAGACUCCUACGGGAGGCAGCAGUGGGGAAUAUUGCACAAUGGGCGGAAGCCUGAUGCAGAAACGCCGCGUGCGGGAUGACGGCCUUCGGGUUGUAAACCGCUUUCGCCUGUGACGAAGCGUGAGUGACGGUAAUGGGUAAAGAAGCACCGGCUAACUACGUG